CAAUGCUCAGCUGAGACUACAUGCCUAGAAGUUACCAUGAGACCAGCUGAGCAAUGCU
rnacentral:pre_miRNA from 1 species